rnacentral:rRNA from 1 species
CGAAUGGCUCAUUAAAACAGUUAUAGUUUAUUUGAUGGUCUUUACUACAUGGAUAACCGUGGUAAUUCUAUGGCUAAUACAUGCGCACAUGCCUCUUCCCCUGGAAGGGCAGUGUUUAUUAGAUACAGAACCAACCCACCUUCCGGUGGUCCUCAGGUGAUUCAUAGUAACCGAACGGAUCGCGUUGACUUCGGUCUGCGACGGAUCAUUCAAGUUUCUGACCUAUCAGCUUUCGACGGUACUGUAUUGGACUACCGUGGCAGUGA